CAUGGCUACUGGUUAGGACGUGAUAAUUGCGAUUUAUUAGGAAAAAAAUCUAAGUCUUUUGUAAAGUGCUUCGGAACAUAUUGCGAUGGAUAGCCAAAGCUUAGGGAAAGGCGGCUCGUAUGUCCAACGGUAUCGCUGCUUUAAAGUCCUGUGGAAUCUGCCCGUAUGAACCGACCGCUAUACCAGAAAAAGAUAUAUGCACAGCAAAUACUGAUGUUAAACAAGAACAAAAUGCUGUAGUGUGGACGUCUCAAGAAAAUAUCCAGAAAAAAAUAUGAAGGAAAGGAAAAAGCGACAAAAAAAAAAGUGAAUAACUCAUCAUCAUCAGAAAGCGAUAAUAAUGAACAAAAUUAUAAGAGUUCUUCUAAUAAAGAUAUUUCUGAUGAUGAACAGAAUAGGUGCGUUGAGUGCACAGAUUAUUGUACGACUUCUAAAGAGGAUUAUAAGAUGUUUAUCAUGUACAUCUUGAAUGCAUUAAUUUUGCACAAAGUACAAUCAAUCCUUUAUGCAAUGUUUGUGGUAGAAAAGCUAAGCAGGAGGCUGUCUAAGAACCCAAAUAAAUAAGUAGAUAAUAUGCUACUUAAAUAUACUAUAUAAAAUUAUUAUGGUGAUUAAGAAUUUGAUCGCAAUGUAACUACAAAGACUUAUUGUUUAUUUUCAGUUAUUUAGCUUAGGUAUAGGUUAAGAAAUUGUUUAUUUUUUGCAUAUAAUUACAGUGGGGCAUUUUGUACUAGACGUGAGGCAUAUUAUCAACUCAUAGCAUUACAAAACGCCCUAUCUAAGGUUUUAAAAAAAUUGUAUUUUUAGCUAGUGUAUAAGGAUUUUUUACCAAACUAAGGUGCCAUUUUGUAGUUUAUAAACUGUUUGUUACAUAUCUUAUAAAAUAUACGAUUAGAUUUA
rnacentral:lncRNA from 1 species